AUGUCUGUGAGCAAUUGCUUUCCUCUUUUUAUCAUUGUUACCUCUAAUUUGAAGUGCUGGCUCUUCACUAACACACUUUCUAUUUAUUUACUUUUUUCCAUUUAUUUACGUUUUGAAGAAAACCACCCCACAGAGAAAUGGCGAUGUCAGCCAGCAGAGCGGACAGAAUUCAGUGAGUUCAAUAUCCAGCAGCCCUUCAGUGACAGUGUCAGCCCCUCAGGCUCCGGAGACCUCUGAGACAGUAUGCAGUGACAGUAAUGGACACACAGGGCCCAGCUGCUAUAUAUAUAAUUUUAUUUUAUAAAUACAUGAAGAUGAUUAAAUAGUUGUUAAUAAUUUUAAAGGGUAUUUUUUAUUGGGAUACUUACUGCACAUUUGCUGUCCCCUGUUUAUUAUUAUUUACAUAUUUUUUAAAUUGCUUUUAUUUGUCCUCAUUUCAAAGUCACUUUAGAUAGUUGUUUGCUAAAUGGAUCAAUGUAAUGUAGUAAAUGAAUCUAUCCCCGCCCUCUACUGGUGAUACGGGAGGAACUCCAACUUAUUUUUUUCUUUUGUAAGCACUUUAGAUAAUUUGUUUACAGACAGUAUGAGCACUGUUUCCGUUUAUUAAUUUAGUAGACACUUUUAUCCCAAAUGACUUCAAAUGAGAAUACAAGAACAUGCAUUUAAGCCACAAGAUGAUUAAUCUGAGAAACUAAAACUUGAUGUAAAAACAGUUUGUAAUCUCUGGCACCUUUCUUCACUUCAAGUGUGGUUGUCCAGCUCAGAGAAAAUGGCACUGUCACAGAGGCUUUCGAGGAGGUCAUAGAGGUUCCCGUGGGGACCAAACUGUCCCGUCAAGAUGGAGAUGGAGAGGAGGUGGAAAAUGAAGAAGAGGAGAAGAGAAAGGUUCCCUUAUUGGCUUUCAGAGAGAAUGGCAGCAUGCAUAAUGUGAGUGGACUGGAGGAAAACCCGGCACAGUAAAGUUCAGGUCAGUCAGUCCGGACACAACAUGGAUUUGGGGUGACAUGCGAUGGCCCCUUUACCUUAUUUAGAUUUUUUCCCAUUAUAGAUGUAUGAAUAUUUAUAAUGGUGGAAAUGGAACAUGCAACACAGGAAUGAAAGAAAACUGAGUCGGAGGGAGAUCCCCUCAAUGCACUUUCCUUCAUUUGACACUAAGACACCUAAAAUAGCAAAGAGAAAUUACUAAAUUAAGAUCUCUUGGCUUCUACUUCCUGUAAUCAGAUCCUGUCUCCUCAAACUGAAAUGGUGUGCUUUAGGAACCACAUCUGUCAUCUUUCUAAUACUUGAAGAAAAGUGUCGUCGCUGUCGUGGAGGCUCCUGUGAAGUGCUAACCAUAAGGAAUGUGUGACAAGAGAAUGAUGUUUUUUGUGUUUGCUUAGAUUUAUGGCAAAACCUUGUAGUUUUGCUCUCGUUAUGCCAGCAAUUGUGUGAGUGGCUGAACUCUCUGCUUAGUUUUAUAAUUAUUGUUCAAAUGAAGAGAACAUAUUUGUUUCCCUCUUUGCAAAGCUUGAACAGAUUUUUGCCUCUUGAAUUAUGAAUUUUGAUAUGGUUUGCAAAGACCUCGUCUCACUCCACCUCAAUGUACGGCUCUCUACGCAGUCUGAGCGAAGCAAAACUGUCAUCCUAUUUUUUUGUGAUGUGACUGGGUGAAUCGGACUUGCUCAGGAACAUAUCCAUGAUAUGUUUAACUCAAAAUUAAUGGAAAAAAGUAUUAGCGUUUAAAUUAAGCACACCCUUUCAUUUCUUAUUACAGUAAUUGUGGGGAAAAUUAUUAUAUAUUAUGUAAAGUGUGAAGUAUGUACAUUGUGUAAACAGUUGUUCUAUUGCCUGUAAUUAAUGCCGAUUCAAAUAAAAAAAAUGUAUUACCUUUUUUCCAUUAGAUUUUGGGAUGAAAUGUGACCUGGAUGUGUUUUGGUGAGAUUCACCCUGCUGUUGUUUUCAGUAGCAUUAAUCACAGACAUCCGAAAGCAACUUGUACUAUAGAAACUUAUGCUGUUAUAUUCAUUACAUUAAAUAUGACGUCUGUUUCAUCGGUAGAACCCAUACAAGCUAAUUGUUAAAAAUCCUUCAAAAGUAAUCAUAACAUAGUAAAAAACAAGCAGAAUCUCUUUAAAUUGAAAUGCUGCUACCUGUCUUUCCUCUGCCUUAUCAGAUGAAGUGAAGUUUUGAAGAUUUGUUUAUAGAGCUGUUGUUAAAGGGCUGAUUUGAUUUUUUGUUUUGAAAAAUCCUGUUCAUCAAUAAGCUCGUAACAUAUGACACCACCAUCAAAAGUAUCCUAUAUAGGAUGACAUAUAAAGCGAUUUAUCUUAUAAAAAGACCAUCUCAGUUUGUUUUUGUGUAGUCAGUAUCGGUGGAUGGUCAAUGGACACCAUAGACAAAAAAAAAGAAGACGAGGAAGUACAAUUAACUAAUAAUUACUUAGUUUUGUUGUAGUCAGUAUCGGUGGAUGGUCAAUGGACACCAUAGCAAAAAAAAGAAGCAGGGAUCAAUUACAUAUCUUGAAACCAAGAAACUGUAAAUCUUGAUAUAUGCAAACGCUAAGAAAGUAUGCAUAAAUGUUGCACAAAAUCUGUUUGUAAGAGGGUGGGUGAAGGUUUAAAACAAGUUUGUUUACUGAGACGUCAGGGAGCGAUUUCUCAGUGAAGAAACAGCACUUCUGAUAAAGCUCCCAUGUGCCCUUGACCUAACGAACAGCACUGAAUACCACUUUAAAAAACUGAAGCGUUUUCUCCCAACCAAGUCGACCUAUAUGCAUGUACAAAUGAUGAAAAUCAAUAAAGUUUUUAUCUGGAAACGACAAAGGCUGCUUUGUUCAUGUGUCUGUGUCAAAUGAAGUUGUCACAGUAAAUUACUGCUGUGGUUGUGUCUAAUUUUUUAUUUUUUUUAUUUUAUUUUUACAUCUUGCUGGCCUAGAUUAAACUUUUGCAUGUGAAACGUAUUUGAUGUUAAGAUUCAGCCUAUGGUUUAUAGCCUCUUGAAUUAUCGAAUUUUUGAUAUGGUUUUGCAAAGACCUCGUCUCACUCCACCUCAAUGUACGGCUCUCUACGCAGUCUGAGCGAAGACAAAACUGUCAUCCUUAUUUUUUUGUGAUGUGACUGGGUGAAUCGGACUUGCUCAGGAACAUAUCCAUGAUAUGUUUAACUCAAAAUUAAAUGGAAAAAAGUAUUAGCGUUUAAAUUAAGCACACCCUUUCAUUUCUUAUUACAGUAAUUGUGGGGAAAAUUAUUAUAUAUUAUCUAGUCAGCCUAUUUUUUUUGUUGAUGUGACUGGGUGAAUCGGACUUGCUCAGGAACAUAUCCAUGAUAUGUUUAACUCAAAAUUAAAUAGGAAAAAAGUAAUUAGCGUUUAAAUUAAGCACACCCUUUCAUUUCUUUAUUACAGUAAUUGUGGGGAAAAUUAUUAUAUAUUAUGUAAAGUGUGAAGUAUGUACAUUGUGUAAACAGUUGUUCUAUUGCCUGUAAUUAAUGCCGAUUCAAAUAAAAAAAAUGUAUUACCUUUUUUCCAUUAGAUUUUGGGAUGAAAUGUGACCUGGAUGUGUUUUGGUGAGAUUCACCCUGCUGUUGUUUUCAGUAGCAUUAAUCACAGACAUCCGAAAGCAACUUGUACUAUAGAAACUUAUGCUGUUAUAUUCAUUACAUUAAAUAUGACGUCUGUUUCAUCGGUAGAACCCAUACAAGCUAAUUGUUAAAAAUCCUUCAAAAGUAAUCAUAACAUAGUAAAAAAACAAGCAGAAUCUCUUUAAAUUGAAAUGCUGCUACCUGUCUUUCCUCUGCCUUAUCAGAUGAAGUGAAGUUUUGAAGAUUUGUUUAUAGAGCUGUUGUUAAAGGGCUGAUUUGAUUUUUUGUUUUUGAAAAAUCCUGUUCAUCAAUAAGCUCGUAACAUAUGACACCACCAUCAAAAGUAUCCUAUAUAGGAUGACAUAUAAAGCGAUUUAUCUUAUAAAAGACCAUCUCAGUUUGUUUUUGUUGUAGUCAGUAUCGGUGGAUGGUCAAUGGACACCAUGACAAAAAAAAGAGCAGGGAUCAAUUACAUAUCUUAGAAACCAAGAAACUGUAAAUCUUAGAUAUAUAGAGAAACAGCACUUCUGAUAAAGCUCCCAUGUGCCCUUGACCUAACGAACAGCACUGAAUACCACUUUAAAAAACUGAAGCGUUUUCUCCCAACCAAGUCGACCUAUAUGCAUGUACAAAUGAUGAAAAUCAAUAAAGUUUUUAUCUGGAAACGACAAAGGCUGCUUUGUUCAUGUGUCUGUGUCAAAUGAAGUUGUCACAGUAAAUUACUGUCUGUGGUUGUGCCAAUUUUUAUUUUUUUUAUUUUAUUUUUUACUAUCUUGCUGGCCUAGAUUAAACUUUUGCAUGUGAAACGAUUUGAUGUUAAGAUUCAGCCAUGGUUUAUAUGGUGCCGAUGUAAAGCUGACAUCUUUUUUCCCCCCUGAGGUUUAAAUGUUUAAGAAAACAACGUAACACGCUUUCAUUUUCUUUCGAACAGGGAUCUAAACAUUUUCAGUGGUCUUCAACAGGAUGCCACAGAUGCUGUCAAUCAAGCUUUUAUUCAAUACAAUACAAUACAAUAUUUCUCUGAGAUCAUUUAGGGAACUAAAUUAUGUCUGUAUUUUUCAAGCAACUAUGGAGAAGUAUGUUUGGUUCAUGCUUGCUUAAAAAUAUAUAUAUAUAUACAUAUAUAUAUAUAUUUUACUGUUUAAUCAAUUAAAUCAAUUAUAUGAUUAUUAUUAUAUGAUCUAUUAAUAAUUAUUAACGAU
rnacentral:lncRNA from 1 species